UGGCUCAGAACGAACGCUGGCGGCGUGCCUAAUACAUGCAAGUCGAGCGCGGGAAGCGGAUGGAUCCCUUCGGGGUGACGUUCGUGGAACGAGCGGCGGACGGGUGAGUAACACGUGGGCAACCUGCCCGUAAGACCGGGAUAACUCCGGGAAACCGGGGCUAAUACCGGAUAGGCUUUUGCCCCGCAUGGGGCAAAAGGGAAAGAUGGUUUCGGCCAUCGCUUACGGAUGGGCCCGCGGCGCAUUAGCUAGUUGGUGAGGUAAUGGCUCACCGAGGAGACGAUGCGUAGCCGACCUGAGAGGGUGAUCGGCCACACUGUGACUGAGACACGGGACAGACUCCUACGGGAUGCAGCAGUGGGA
rnacentral:rRNA from 1 species